rnacentral:lncRNA from 1 species
GAAGAAAUGAAAAUGUUUGUCUUAUAUCGACCUGCCCAGGAUGCAAUAGAGAAGAACAAGACUCAAGGAGAGAAAUGGAGACUUCCCUUAAGAAAUGCAUUAACUAAAUGUCAGCUAUACCCACUUCCUAAUGUGGUUCACUGGGAUGUCAGUGAAGGAAAUCAUGGCAGCUACUUCUGAAUUUAUUGAUCCCAAUUUUGGAAAGAGUUUCCAAGAGAAAAGGACAGCCAGUGUCACAAGUUGGCCAUCUAUUUGCAUCUGG